AUUGAACGCUGGCGGCAUGCCUUACACAUGCAAGUCGAACGGCAGCACGGGAGCAAUCCUGGUGGCGAGUGGCGAACGGGUGAGUAAUAUAUCGGAACGUGCCCAGUCGUGGGGGAUAACGUAGCGAAAGCUACGCUAAUACCGCAUACGAUCUACGGAUGAAAGCGGGGGAUCGCAAGACCUCGCGCGAUUGGAGCGGCCGAUAUCAGAUUAGGUAGUUGGUGAGGUAAAGGCUCACCAAGCCGACGAUCUGUAGCUGGUCUGAGAGGACGACCAGCCACACUGGGACUGAGACACGGCCCAGACUCCUACGGGAGGCAGCAGUGGGGAAUUUUGGACAAUGGGCGCAAGCCUGAUCCAGCAAUGCCGCGUGCAGGAUGAAGGCCUU
rnacentral:rRNA from 1 species